GAUGAACGCUGACAGAAUGCUUAACACAUGCAAGUCAACUUGAACUUCGGUUUGGGUGGCGGACGGGUGAGUAACGCGUAAAGAACUUGCCUCACAGAUAGGGACAACAUUUGGAAACGAAUGCUAAUACCUGAUAUUAUGAUUUUAGGGCAUCCUAGGAUUAUGAAAGCUAUAUGCGCUGUGGGAGAGCUUUGCGUCCCAUUAGCUAGUUGGAGAGGUAACGGCUCACCAAGGCGAUGAUGGGUAGCCGGCCUGAGAGGGUGAUCGGCCACAAGGGGACUGGGACACGGCCCUUACUCCUACGGGAGGCAGCAGUGGGGAAUAUUGGACAAUGGACCAAGAGUCUGAUCCAGCAAUUCUGUGUGCACGAUGAAGUUUUUCGGAAUGUAAAGUGCUUUCAGUUGGGAAGAAAAAAAUGACGGUACCAACAGAAGAAGUGACGGCUAAAUACGUG
rnacentral:rRNA from 1 species